UACGUAGGGUGCGAGCGUUGUCCGGAAUUAUUGGGCGUAAAGAGCUCGUAGGCGGCUUGUCGCGUCGGAUGUGAAAGCCCGGGGCUUAACUCCGGGUCUGCAUUCGAUACGGGCAAGCUAGAGUGUGGUAGGGGAGAUCGGAAUUCCUGGUGUAGCGGUGAAAUGCGCAGAUAUCAGGAAGAACACCGGUGGCGAAGGCGGUGGGCUGGGCCGGCACUGACGCUGAGGAGCGAAAGCGUGGGGAGCGAACAGG
rnacentral:rRNA from 1 species